CUUAGAUCCUCCAUUCUUUCUUCGAAAUCCUCCAUUUUUUCUCAUAUUUUUUUUAAAUGAGAAGUCGAGAACCAUCCACUAUCUUUUAAUAUUUUUUUGUUUUAAAUCUAUAUUAAAAAAAUCCACGUUUUUAUUUUCUUCAUAAUCCACGAUCCCUAACACAACUUCAAAUCUCAAAAUCGUUUUAUUGCAAAUGCAGAUGUAGCAGUACUUACUUUUAAUGUAAAAACAGUUCCUAAUCAGGCCUCAAAAUCGUCCUUCAUGCUCGACCACGAGUAUAAUGCGUCCAUCAAUUCCCGGUCCAUCCUCGGCGUUUAUUCAAUACAAACAGCAAGAGAACAAAAAGUUUGGAUCCUCAAGCUUAGCUUCAAAGAAAUUAAAAUAUUAUUAGAUCCUCAAACCAUGAUUGGAUCAUCAAAUCAAGGUUUCAAUGAAGAAGUUAUUUUUAGAACGAAAUGGAAAGAGAAGCAUGUUCGGUUUGCUAGGAAAUUCGGAGAUGGAGCAAAGACUUUCCACAACCAGUAACGUAUAGAUUGACUUUUUAUAUUUAUAAUUAUGUAGUACGCUCACAAAGUUUGUCGUAUUUCAUCAAUAAUUUGUUUGUUUCAUAUAUUUUUUUUAACUAUAUAAGAUAAUGGAUUCAAUGCA